rnacentral:rRNA from 1 species
GAACCUGCCUCAAAGAGGGGGACAACAGUUGGAAACGACUGCUAAUACCGCAUAAGCCCACGGCUCGGCAUCGAGCAGAGGGAAAAGGAGCAAUCCGCUUUGAGAUGGCCUCGCGUCCGAUUAGCUAGUUGGUGAGGUAACGGCCCACCAAGGCGACGAUCGGUAGCCGGACUGAGAGGUUGAACGGCCACAUUGGGACUGAGACACGGCCCAGACUCCUACGGGAGGCAGCAGUGGGGAAUAUUGCACAAUGGGGGAAACCCUGAUGCAGCGACGCCGCGUGGAGGAAGAAGGUCUUCGGAUUGUAAACUCCUGUUGUUGAGGAAGAUAAUGACGGUACUCAACAAGGAAGUGACGGCUAACUACGUGCCAGCAGCCGCGGUAAAACGUAGGUCACAAGCGUUGUCCGGAAUUACUGGGUGUAAAGGGAGCGCAGGCGGGAAGACAAGUUGGAAGUGAAAUCUAUGGGCUCAACCCAUAAACUGCUUUCAAAACUGUUUUUCUUGAGUAGUGCAGAGGUAGGCGGAAUUCCCGGUGUAGCGGUGGAAUGCGUAGAUAUCGGGAGGAACACCAGUGGCGAAGGCGGCCUACUGGGCACCAACUGACGCUGAGGCUCGAAAGUGUGGGUAGCAAACAGGAUUAGAUACCCUGGUAGUCCACACCGUAAACGAUGAUUACUAGGUGUUGGAGGAUUGACCCCUUCAGUGCCGCAGUUAACACAA